rfam:Schistosoma haematobium scaffold2395_2, whole genome shotgun sequence.
AUCCAGUUGACAAGUCUUAAAUAGGACGAAACGUGCAUCCUGGAU